UCUUCCAACACUCACCAAGAUAAAAACAAUGUCAGAAACCCAAAGCUGGACGCUCGGCUGAGAAAACUCAUAACUCUCCCCUGCAUGUCCCGGUGUCCUCAACACUCCACUGUUAAGACUUUCAUUCCUCUCAGGACCCCCUCAAAUAGAAAUGGCUUACCGGGGCAACAUAAAUUGUCGAGAGGAUCAGGCCGGGGCGAGAGUAAGGACUCAUCUUGCUUUGAAUGAGCACCGGCAGGUCCCCCGCUGUCACUGCACUGUGAGCAGAUGGUGAGCAUCCCCGUCUAUUGUCCCCAGACAUGUGUUUGUAGAGGGAAGCAGCUGAGGGAUAAAGAGAGAGGCACCAAGAAGAAAGACCAGGGAAUAUAUGCUCACACACAUUUGAAGAGCUUGUCGCCAGGGGAAACGCGCCACUUCCGGCAUGGGGAAACCCGACGCUAGGCCAGGCUGACGCUGAGACCCGCUACGUCUGCGGCCACAUCACAUGGGACUAACGCACUCUUUCAUCCUGCCUCUGUUUCUUUGCUUUCUUUAUCCCCCUAUCCACACAGUCAUCAUAAUCACCCGUUCUUUUAGAGCCCCCACUGUCCUCAGGGGUUUAGCCUUAUAGUUCUCAGUAGUAAGAGUUUUCUUUUUACUACUAAAAUGAUUAUUUAACAUUCCUUAUGCAGCAGUUCUGUUGAUAUUUUGAUAAUAUCUCAUUAAAGACCUUUUUCAAUUAAACAGUAUAGAAAACAUGAGUUAAGAUAAAUAAUUGCAGCGUCUUUCCAAACAUCUGAAGCAACCUAUUUAAGUGAAUAUCAAAACCUUUCA